rnacentral:rRNA from 1 species
GAUGAACGCUGGCGGCGUGCUUAACACAUGCAAGUCGAACGGAAAGGCCCAAGCUUGCUUGGGUACUCGAGUGGCGAACGGGUGGGUAACACGUGGGUGAUCUGCCCUGCACUUCGGGAUAAGCCUGGGAAACUGGGUCUAAUACCGGAUAGGACGAUGGUUUGGAUGCCAUUGUGGAAAGUUUUUUCGGUGUGGGAUGAGCUCGCGGCCUAUCAGCUUGUUGGUGGGGUAAUGGCCUACCAAGGCGUCGACGGGUAGCCGGCCUGAGAGGGUGUACGGCCACAUUGGGACUGAGAUACGGCCCAGACUCCUACGGGAGGCAGCAGUGGGGAAUAUUGCACAAUGGGCGCAAGCCUGAUGCAGCGACGCCGCGUGGGGGAUGACGGCCUUCGGGUUGUAAACUCCUGUCGCUAGGGACGAAGCGUUUUUGUGACGGUACCUGGAGAAGAAGCACCGGCUAACUACGUG